CAGCAGCCGCGGGAAUACAGAGGGUGCAAGCGUUAAUCGGAUUUACUGGGCGUAAAGCGUGCGUAGGCGGCUUUUUAAGUCGGAUGUGAAAUCCCUGAGCUUAACUUAGGAAUUGCAUUCGAUACUGGGAAGCUAGAGUAUGGGAGAGGAUGGUAGAAUUCCAGGUGUAGCGGUGAAAUGCGUAGAGAUCUGGAGGAAUACCGAUGGCGAAGGCAGCCAUCUGGCCUAAUACUGACGCUGAGGUACGAAAGCAUGGGGAGCAAACAGGAUUAGAUACCCCCGUAGUCCCUGUCUCUUAUAC
rnacentral:rRNA from 1 species